rnacentral:lncRNA from 1 species
CCUGCCACCUCGUGAAGACAGUGUCUUGCUUCCCCUUUGCCUUCUGCCAUGAUUACAAGUUUCCUGAGGCCUUCCCAGCCACGCUGAGCUGUGGCAGAGAUGAGGAUCAACCAGCAAAUGAGAUUGUGAGAGUGGCGUGUGAGGUAGGAGAAAGAAGAGAAUCGAAUCUAGGAAGGGAUAUGGAUGGAGCUGGAAACCAUUAUCCUCAGCAAACUAAUGCAGGAACAGAAAACCAAACACUGCAUGUUCUCACUUCACCUGCAGGGAUCCUCCCUUGUGGCCCUCUCCCUGCUUGAAGUCCCACCCAAAAGGCUUGGGGACAUAGCAGCAGCUGCCUUGGUACAGAGGAUAGAUACAUUUUGUUUGAUGCCCUCUCUCCAUACUACAAUGCCUGGACCGAGAUUCCAGCUUUGGCCAUGGGGAACUCCUUCAUGCUGGCUCCUGCAUCCUUUGGACAUGCCCUGUCCUUCUGUGAGCACGGUCUUACUUUCUGGCCCCACAAGAUAUUCCAGGCUCAUCUUGUAAUUUCCCUGCUCCAGUCCUGGACUCAGCCACUUCUCCAAGAAGCUCUGAUUCUUUUUCUUAGAGAAUGGUAUUGAGAAACCAAGAUCUGGGGGCUAAGUGUUCAACUUGUGUUCCACUGUUACUUUAAUGUAUCCCUGGAAUCCAAUCAAGAGAUAGAAACCACAUAGUAGUUUAAAUACAGAAUGUUUAAUAUAACUAUUAACUAUAACAGGAGAUUGGAGAAAUGGGGGAUUGACUAAUAAGAGGUAAGAAGAACCCUCACCCCUUCCAAAACAAAGGAGGAAUAGCAGAUUUAGGGAGUAGCCAUUGUCCCCAGCGCCUAAGAAAGAGGCCACUCUCCAUCUCUCCACCCCCUUUCGGAACCAGAUCUCACUGGAAAGGGUACCACUGUGACCUACUGGAUGGCAGAGAAGAUUGCUGGGGUGCUUUGUUAGUGUGGCUCGAUGGAAAUCUGCCCUCCGUGAUGCAGAAGGAAGCUGUCCAUGGGCAGGAGUUGUGAUUUGGAACUCACAGCAAAGCCACUCAAGGGCUGCCGGGAGAAGCUCUUCAUAGGGAUGUAAUACAUGCUGCUGGCCACCUAGAGAUGCAUUGCGUAAGCCUCAGGUGCUGCAGGAGCCUGAUGAGGGGAGCUCAUGAGAACCAGGAAGAGAAAUCUCUUCCUCUUCCAAAGUCUUUCUAGUGCCCUCUGCUGAUAAUUGAAACAUUUAGGUGAAUUCUUCUGUUUCCCAUGUUCUUCAGCGUCACUAUGCUAUUUGUUUUUAAUACAUGUAUGUUCAUUUGUUAGUUUGUAACAGUGUUAGCCAGGAUGGUCUCGAUCUCCUGACCUCAUGAUCUGCCCGCUUCGGCCUCCCAAAGUGCUGGGAUUACAGACGUGAGCCACCACGCCUGGCCCACCCACCAGUUUUUAUAAAUAAAGUUUUAUUGUUGCACA